CACCCCCCCCCCAACAAAAAAAAAAGAAUAGAAUGACAUAAAUAAAAUAAUAUUCAUAUAAAUUCCAUUUUAUUCACGUGUGGGCAUCUAUUUCAUUUCUGUGAAAUGUGAAAGAUACAAUAAUCCAAUCGGCUGUAUGUAGUAAAAAUCAUCUUUAUGAAGUAUAAGCAUUGAAAUGCAACUAAUUAUGUGCAUGAAGGACCGUAUAACAGGCAAAGCUAAACCAAAGAUCUAAAAGGUCACAUGAACAUCAAACAGAGAUACAGUGUUGCUCCACCCAAACUGAGCUGAGGUGUGAAAUAAAAUAAAGAAUAGAACAGGCUGCAGGAAGUGAGCAGUGCUUUAACUGUCUGUGGUCAGGGUGGCUCUCGCCUGAAAUUAGGCAGCUUCACCCAUAGCCCCGCCCGCUACUCCUCUGCACAAAAGAGCCAAGCAGGGGCACCUCACAGUACCCGCUUUGGGGCCCCACAGCUGUGACACUUUCACACAGUUAACUACACCUGUCCGCUCCUUAUAUCUUCUGCGAAAGUAAGUGCAAUAUCUAUGUUGAUCUGGGGGUUAUAGGCUAGGCUACAGCAGCAAAAUAUUGUUAUUCGCAUUGGAACAUGGUUCCCUCUUUUUUCUGGCUUUUAAACUACUGUUAACGCAUUUUACACAGCUGUGAUGGUCAUGUAGAUCUUUAAUGUUUUUAUAUUCAUUAUUGUGUACCAAUAUGUCAAGUUACACAGUGAAGUUACAUUCUUGUAAAAUAAUCUAUGUUGUCUGUAAUUUGAUUUUAUAUUGUCAUUCUCCAACCAUGUUAAACCUGCGUGAGCUGCUGUCUGUCUUGGCCAGGACACUCAACGAGACUCUCCUGGUUAAAGUAAAAUGUAAUAAUAUUUACAAAUAGAAACAAUUAUUCUUAAAGCUUUGCAUACAUCACAGUCAGUCUGCCAUGUUCAGAAAUAUGAGCCUGUCAGCAGGGCCCUUUCAGACAGUUUGAAAACCGUUAAGAUCACACCUCCUCUACCAGCGUAAGUGCAUGAUUUAGCCCUGUUUUAUUCUUAAUGGCUGUUAACACAUUUUUUCAUUGAGUUGUAAAAUAAUGUAAUGAUUCAAUAGAGUGCCUUGAUAGAAGAUGAGAGAAGAAAUCUUUGAUUUUUGCACGCUUCAAUUUGUUGCAUUUGUUGCAAACAGUAAAAAAAUUUAAGUACAGUGUUGUUGUUCUCUGAUCUACGGAUUACAGCGAGUGCUUUAUUCUGUGCUAAUCUAGUGUUCCUAAUGGAGAUCAGUCUCUCUCACUGCUGAAAGGUGGCUAUGUGACCAGUGGGGUAAAUAUGCACAGCAUUCGUUAAAACAGUAAAUUAGCUUUCUUAAAAUUAAAAUAAUGUAAAAAGAAAUCAUAAUAAUAAAAAAAUAAAAACAAAAAAAAGAUAAUUGUUUUCUGAAAGUAACUUUUUUUUAAAUUACUUUCCAUGUUAUCUGUUAAACGCUGAAUAUCAGUGAUUCAUUUUGUGGAAUUUUGGUUAUGGCUUAAAAAACAAAAGGCAAUAAUAUAAGUUAUGUUUUUUAUAUGUAUGUUCAGGCCGAUGCAGCCAUGCCCCAAACAUCCUCAACAGUAUUUUUGUAAGCCCUUCUCUCUGCCUCAGUCCUCAAGACCCCUGUCUGAAGAUAUUACAGUCUCAUAUUGUAUUAUAUUCUGUGC